UUAGAUCACCGAAGUCAAGCAUCAUUGGGCGCGGUCAGUACUUGGGUGGGUGACCACCUGGGAACACCGCGUGCCGU
rnacentral:rRNA from 1 species